rnacentral:rRNA from 1 species
GGGAAUAUUGGACAAUGGGCGAAAGCCUGAUCCAGCCAUGCCGCGUGCGGGAAGAAGAUCUUCGGGUCGUAAACUCCUGUCGAGUGGGAAGAAUGCUUCGGGGGCCAAUACCCUCCGGAAUUGACGGUACAACUAAAGGAAGCCCCGGCUAACUCCGUGCCAGCAGCCGCGGUAAUACGGGGGGGGCUAGCGUUGUUCGGAAUUACUGGGCGUAAAGGGCGUGUAGGCGGUUUGCCAAGUCAGAUGUGAAAGCCCCGGGCUUAACCUGGGAACUGCAUUUGAGACUGGCAGGCUAGAGGUUGGAAGAGGAGAGUGGAAUUCCCAGUGUAGAGGUGAAAUUCGUAGAUAUUGGGAAGAACACCAGUGGCGAAGGCGGCUCUCUGGUCCACACCUGACGCUGAGGCGCGAAAGCGUGGGGAGCAAA